UCCCUGAUGGUCCAGUGGUUAAGACUCCAUGCUCCCAAUGCAGGUGGCACAGGUUCAAUCCCUGCUUGGGGAA
rnacentral:tRNA from 1 species